rnacentral:rRNA from 1 species
UACGUAGGGGGCAAGCGUUGUCCGGAAUCAUUGGGCGUAAAGCGAGCGUAGGCGGCCCGAUAAGUCUGCUGUAAAAGUCAACGGCUCAACCGUUGAAAGCCGGUGGAUACUGUCGGGCUAGAGUUCGGAAGAGGCAAGUGGAAUUCCUGGUGUAGCGGUGGAAUGCGCAGAUAUCAGGAGGAACACCUAUAGCGAAGGCAGCUCGCUGGAACGUUACUGACGCUGAGACGCGAAAGCGUGGGGAGCAAACAGG